rnacentral:rRNA from 1 species
AUUGAACGCUGGCGGCAUGCUUUACACAUGCAAGUCGAACGGCAGCGCGGGCUUCGGCCUGGCGGCGAGUGGCGAACGGGUGAGUAAUGCAUCGGAACGUGCCCAGUAGUGGGGGAUAGCCCGGCGAAAGCCGGAUUAAUACCGCAUACGACCUGAGGGUGAAAGCGGGGGGCCGAAAGGCCUCGCGCUAUUGGAGCGGCCGAUGUCGGAUUAGCUAGUUGGUGGGGUAAAGGCUUACCAAGGCGACGAUCCGUAGCUGGUCUGAGAGGACGACCAGCCACACUGGAACUGAGACACGGCCCAGACUCCUACGGGAGGCAGCAGUGGGGAAUGUUGGACAAUGGGGGAAAGCCUGAUCCAGCCAUGCCGCGUGUGGGAAGAAGGCUUUCGGAUUGUAAACCGCUUUUAGUGGGGAGGAAGGCCAGUGAGUUAAUACCGGGGGGGGUUGACGGUACCGAAAGAAUAAGCACCGGCUAACUACGUG